AAUUGCUGCCAACCUAGCCUUGGGCAAACUCCUGGUCUCCUGAGGAGGGAACACCCUGAAGACAUUCUCAGAGUAUGCAUUCCUGGGCUAGGGGGUCCAGACCAGAGCCUCUGAGGAAAAUUGGAUACAGACGAGUUCACAGGGAAGACCAUGUGCAGACAGAGUGAGAAGACAGCCACUUACAAGCCAAGGAGAGAGGCCUCAGAAGAAAUCAGCCUGGUGACGCCUUGAUCUUGGAGACUCCAGACCUGUCUACCAGCACCCCACCAACUCUCAAAGGAUGACCUUCUCUUCUCAUUUCACUGAGAAGCAGCAGAAAAGUACAUCCACAUCAUCAUCACCAAAUCCAUGAACCUCCCAACCCGAAAAGCUGUGUUUUCCAUCUUUCUUCUGUGAGGUGGUAGAAUUCUUACCCACACUCUCACCUGUGCUUUUGAUACCUCUCACCAAUAUAUGAGUCCAGGAGUUCAAGACCAGCCUGGGCAACAUGGUGAA